UCUCUCUGUUCUAAUUCGAAGUUCAAAAUGGGGUACCCACCCUGUGCAUUGGUAUUUCACUUCAGCACUUCCACGAUCAUUACUUGCUGGAUAUCCUCUUUUUCUGGUGAGUCUUUCUGAACCAUGUUAACAGAAGACAUUACGUCUGAAACUUCUCAUCUUGUUUUCUUAUGCCUGUAGACUCGUAUACCAGUUUGGAAUGCUUUUCUGGAAUCUUGUUCAGUGUACUAUUAACUUGUUAGUUUCUAGAAAUUCAACAGUUAAUUUCACAAUGAUAAAACAAGAUUUUAUAGUUUCUGUAUGGCAAUAUUACUCAUUGAAAUGUGACAUUUGUGUAAAAAAAAAAAAAAAAAAAAA